CGGCUUCAGACGACCCAUCGUCCUCUCAAGGGCGGCUGCUGGAACAGUGGCUAUCCUCCUCCUAGUCGCUGUUCGGUUGUUUUGGAAAAGCCUGCCGCACCUCCUCCCGCGACAGGUUUUUUGU
rnacentral:sRNA from 1 species